rnacentral:rRNA from 1 species
AACGAACGCUGGCGGCGUGCCUAACACAUGCAAGUCGUGCGAGAAAGUUCCUUCGGGAGCGAGUAAAGCGGCGCACGGGUGAGUAACACGUAGGUAACCUGCCCCCCAGUCUGGAACAACUAGAGGAAACUCUAGCUAAUGCCGGAUGAGACCACGAUCCCUUCGGGGGUUGCGGCCAAGAUGGCCUCUACUUGUAAGCUAUCGCUGAGGGAUGGGCCUGCGGGCCAUUAGCUUGUUGGUGAGGUAACGGCUCACCAAGCUGUGAUGGCUAGCUGGUCUGAGAGGAUGACCAG